rnacentral:snRNA from 1 species
AUACUUACCUGGUGCCGGGAUUACCGUGAUCAGCUAGGCGGUGUCCCCAGGGAGAGGCGCGGGCAUUGCACUGCGCUCGUGCUGACCCCUGCCACUACCCCAAACUGGGGCAGAUGGGGCAUGCAAUUUUUGGUAGUGGGGGACUGCGUUCGCGCUAUCCCCCU